UGUGUACUCCCUCCGUUCCAAAAUACUUGACUUACAUUUGUCCAAAAAUGGAUGUACCUAUAUACUAAAACAUGUCUAGAUACAUCUAUAUCUUGACAAAUAGAAGGCAUGUAUUGUGGAACGGAGGGAGUAGAAU
rnacentral:pre_miRNA from 1 species